GCCUCUCUUCAGCUGUAAAAGAAAAGGAAAACAUGCCACAGAGCAGGCUUUGGAGUGCUAGGAACAAAGCUGAUUUGGGAGCCAAGUGCACUGGGAUACUUGCUGUCUUACCACCCAGGCUCUGCAAGGACCAAGAUAACGGCAAAAAUGAGGCCAGCAGAGAUGACCAUCUUUACAGACUCCCACGGCACCCAGCAUGACCCAUUAAAAAUCAGCUCCAGACCGGGCGGAAGAAAAACCUACUGCCAAAAAGGGAAUAAAACUGUUUCCCACCCCCUGCUUGGCCGUGAAAAUGCUUCCAAAGAAGAGGC
ensembl:lncRNA